rnacentral:rRNA from 1 species
UACGGGAGGCAGCAGUGGGGAAUAUUGCACAAUGGGGGAAACCCUGAUGCAGCAACGCCGCGUGAGUGAUGAAGGUCUUCGGAUCGUAAAGCUCNNUCUUCAGGGACGAUAAUGACGGUACCUGAGGAGGAAGCCACGGCUAACUACGUGCCAGCAGCCGCGGUAAUACGUAGGUGGCGA